UUUCCCUCAAACAAGACUUCCACUUGAAGCUAGUGUUUUUUUUUCUCUGAAACGGGCUUCAUCUCUACACUGACUGACCUUCAGGCAGCUUCGCGGGCAGUAACAGAUUCUUUAUAGGGGUUGGAUUUUUCUUCUCUACACAUUUUACUGCUGAGUGACCUCCUCAGUCAACGUAACCUAGCCGUGACCUCUGACCGGUGCAAUUCACCAUGCGUCUCCAGUCCAGCGACCAGCAGCAACUCCCCCACGAUCACUGGAAAUGUCACUGAGGUGGUGUCCCUUGCCCUCUGAACUAUGGGCCGCUCACGUCCUGCACAAAUACAUCACUUUCACCAAAGCAUCUGUCAUCAAAGCACUCUCAUUUACUUUCCAUUUUCUGUAAAUGCUAUUCUAUUAAGAAUGCUUCUUAUUAGAACGGUCAGAACAAAUAUAGGUCGAAGUGAAAAGUUUGAUUAAAAGUGGAAAAGAUGACAAAAUCAAACCGACACAAAGUCUUUUCUCUGCAUAUUUUAUUAUCUUGUCCUGGACAGUGAUCAUUUGUCCAAAAUAAAUAGUAGCUGUGAAGAAUAUCCAAUGAUUAAUGCUAGUCUACACACACACACACACUUAAGUUUCAAUCUCUCUGCUUAAUAAUGCUCUAAUAAAAACAUGACUCAAGGACACAUUUUAUCACAUGGACUGAAGGGAAAAAAGAAAAGAAAAUGCAGGAGAGAGCUUUCAUCUAAAGAUUUUUUUCCCCCUCCAACCUUAAAAACAUGUUUCAACAGGCCCUGACAUACGCAAGAUUGAUCCUUGAAAAUGACCCAAUCCAAACAGAGGAGCUGAUAAUGGUUUGAAAAGAUGUCUCUAUUAUGGGAUAGUAUUUCAUGUUGGAGAGAAAUUGUUCCUAAUGAGCCUUGUUCUAAAGGCCUGCAGGCCCUGCCUCUCCCUCCCCUUACUCUCCAGACCUCCAGGGGUUAGUGUCUGUGCGUCAGGCCCCCAUUGUUGUCUACCGGCGGAUAAUGUCCUUAUUAAUUGUACCUCUUUGUAAGGUGUCAGCUGCAGCCUUCGAUUGAGACGGAUGGGUCCUCUGGAGUCUGCUCCCGAGCCCUCCUCUGCUGGCCUAUCUUUAGACAGCACACAGGUGCAUCAUUUCUCAUCCAGCAGCUUCAGCGUUGGGCCUAAAGCAUUCUCUGAUAUACAGUAUGACCCCAAAAAGUGUCAAAGGAGGCAAAAGAAACAAUGUCUUUUAGAAAAUAAAAAUACAUCAUUUUAAAGAAGACAAAUUGCGAAUAAAAUGGUUCCCUUAUUUUCACUUGUUUACUAACCAAAGUCCCAGAUACAAAUAUAUAAAACAUACAGUAAAUAUACAUUACCAGUCAAAAGUUGGGACACACCUUUUCUCAUUCAAUGUGUUUCUUUCUUUUCAUGAUGUUUUAAAUUGUAAAUUUAAUAUUGAAGCUAUAGAAACAUAUAAAGUAUUAAAAAAGUGUUAAAAAAAACAAAAUAUGUUUUAUACUUUAGAUUUAUUGCUUCAUAAUAAAAAUUUUGGCUUUAAUGAUAGAUUUGCACACUCUAGAAGGAGUUCCUGGAGUUGCUAAACAAUAGUUGCUUCUUUUCCUUCACACUGUGAGGCUCCAGCUCAUCCCAAAUCACUCAGUUGGGUUUAAGUCAGGGGAUUGUGAAGAACAAACACUUUUUUACAGUUUACUACAUUUCAUAUGUGUCCCUUAAUUGUUUGGUUGUCUAUAUUUUAAUCUAUCAUGUAGAAAAUACAUGAAAUAAAGAAAAACAUUAAGAAUAAGAAAAUAAUGAGAAGGUGUGCCCAAACUUAUGACUGGUACUAUAAAUAUAAACAGAACAUGAACAGGCUUCUCAGCAUAGAAAUUAUUGCAUGAGUUUUUUAUUUUUGUGAUUUUUUUUCUAGCGUUGGGGGAUGGGAUGUUGGUAUAAAAAAAAGGGAGCGAGAGAAAAAGAGGGAAAAAACACCUUUUACACCUUCCCAAGUGAAGGCCACAUCUAAAGAUCUGUGCUAAAUGUCAGCUAAAAUUUAAUGUGUAAAAAGCCCCUUCAUCAUUAACAUUUAGAUCUGGGAUCUCAUGCAAGAAAACGUGUGAUGUGUUUUUGAAGUGAAGAAGUUGAUUUACUUGGACAGUCCCUCGCAAAUUAGUGCACCAAUUAGUCCUCGGCUUGUGAAACAAAACGACCUAUGUCAUUAUGCAGAAAAACUUACAGUAAACUUUCCGUUCCGUAUUUGCCUGUUUUCCGCUUUUCGUUUUACUGUAAGUAGGCUAAAGGUCUGGAAAAAGUCAUUCUUUAUUGUUGUGACAAAUGUACUCAACAGCUACAACUUGCAUAAUAGAAGGGAGGAAAGUGGUCACAAAGGUUUCUCUAGAGACAAUAUGAAAUCUAAAUUUAAGCAAUUAAGGAAUCAGCCUUCCUUUUUACAACUCAUUACAAUUUAUUAUGAGCGUCAGCAUUUUCAAAAUAGUAGUCCAGUACGUUUAAAGCAGUUUAACACAAAUAUACUUGUUUAUUUAUUUGAAUGUGUAUAUGCUGGGAUCCUACCCAGACCUUUUUUAUUUAUUUAAAGCUGCAAUAACAUCACUGUUAAAACAAAACAACAAACAAUAACAAAAAACAAAAUUUUGGUCCAAAAGUAAAAAAUUAUAUAUUUUCCCUAGAAGUAUUAUAUUAUUAUGUAAAUUUGCUUUGUUUCUACUGAUCAGUUCAGUGUAAAA